UUGAACGCUGGCGGUAUGCUUUACACAUGCAAGUCGAACGGCAGCACGGGGCAACCUGGUGGCGAGUGGCGAACGGGUGAGUAACAUAUCGGAACAUGUCCGGAAGUGGGGGAUAACGUACCGAAAGGUACGCUAAUACCGCAUAUGCCCUGAGGGGGAAAGGGGGGGAUCGCAAGACCUCUCGCUUUCGGAGUGGCCGAUAUCGGAUUAGCUAGAUGGUGAGGUAAAGGCUCACCAUGGCGACGAUCCGUAGCUGGUCUGAGAGGACGACCAGCCACACUGGAACUGAGACACGGUCCAGACUCCUACGGGAGGCAGCAGUGGGGAAUUUUGGACAAUGGGCGCAAGCCUGAUCCAGCCAUACCGCGUGAGUGAAGAAGGCCUUCGGGUUGUAAAGCUCUUUCAGCCGGAAAGAAAUCGUACUUAUUAAUACUAAGUGCGGAUGACGGUACCGGAAGAAGAAGCACCGGCUAACUACGU
rnacentral:rRNA from 1 species